rnacentral:ncRNA from 1 species
UCCGCAGGGCGUGGCGCAGGAUCACAUCGCGGAAGGCCACGCCUUUCAGGCGGGCGGUGCGGAUAUAUUGCUGCGUCAUCACCUCGGUCAUCGAGGCGCGCGUCAUGCGGGCGAUAUAGCCGAUGCCGUAAAGCGCGAUGGUGGCGACGGGCAGCGCGAAGUUCCAGAAGGUGAUGUCG